CUCCCCGCGCUUCUGCUCCAGCAGCCGCUUGCGGCCGCUCUCCGCCUCCGACUCCAGCGCAUCGAAGACGGCGGCUCCCACCAGCAGCCCUUGUCUAGGUGGGGUGUGCUGCAGAGGGUCCCCGCUCCCAGCUUCCCCUUCCCAGUGCCAGAGCCAUCUCCCAGACGUGUGCUUCCCAUCAACCAGCUCCUCCUGUCCGUGUCCCCAGCCAAGUCCAUAACAGCACAGCUGAAACCUUCAGUGUGUGUGUGGGAUCCAGCUGAGAAAAACAAGCCUCCAGGUCUCACCAUGGUUAUGAAAGCAGCGAUGUCGCCCGGAAAGUAUGUACCAGGGAGUAGAGAGCUGCUGUGCCGACAGGGGUGAGCGGGGGAGGUGGGCACCCACUCAAAUAUGACUCAAAAUCAGGGGAAAUUAUUUCUGAUGAACGUAAUUACUUCGGCUCCAGCCCUGAUCAAUACGAGGAGAUGAAACGCUCAUAAACC
rnacentral:lncRNA from 1 species